AGAAACAUGCAGUUUGGGCCAUUUUUAUUUUUAUAACCAAAUUGAGUGGCGAAAUAAAUACUUUGGCUUCUUUUAUUCCUGAAGUUACAAAGACCAAGAAACUAAGGUAAGAAGUUACCCUCCCCUCGAUGCCCAAAGAAAUAAAAUUUAAAAGAGGGGUAAGAGGAAAGGCAGCUAUUGUAAUGAUAACAUUAGGGCUAGAAAAUUAGCUAAUACAGAUGUCUUCAGUAUAUCAUGAAAUAAAAGUUUGUACAUGGGUAACAAAAUUCAGAACAGCGAACUUCUUACCUGGACAGCAAAGUUAGCUUCCUGUCAGCUCCUGGUAGUUUAGGAGUUGUAGCUACAGAGCCACUCUUUCGGAUGUCCUCCUGCUCCUGGCACAUGGUUUGAUAAAACAGAAGUCAUGAAUUCCCUUCAGUUCCACUCAAGGAUGUGCCACAUUUCUCCAGAAGCAAACCACUCCUGCCACAUCUAUGUGCACUCACUUUUGGACCCUGUUAAGAAUAUUUUGACACAUGUGUACCCUAACAGUGGCUUUGGUUUUUUAAGCACAAAGGGGGAAUGGCAGGGUUUAACUUCUUUAGUGUGUAUAUGUAUAUAUAAAUAGGUGUUUCAAAUAAAAUUAAUUGGGUGAAUGUGAAUAAGUUUGAACCAGCAAGAGUAUAAUAAACUAUCAUUAAAUUUUUUUCUUCUAAAAACUAUAUGUACAGACCACACACACACACACACACACACACACACACACACACACACACACUUUUGGUUUUGUGUAAGUGUGUGGAGGGCCCCUUCUGUUGUCAGAUACACUGAUCGUGUUAGCAGGAAUGUAUGAAGUUACUUCAUAUUGUCACUGCCCCCUCUUUUAAGUAACAUAGAUACACUGUGUCAAGAUUAGGGAGAACAUUAAAAAGAAAAGAAAAGAAAAGAAAACCAGGAGAUGAGUUUCAGAUAAAAAAACAUUUUAAAAGUUGCAACGAAAUCUCUAAUCUGAGUAAUUACCUGUUUUAAGGAAAGGGCCAAUAAAUUUGGGGGUUUUAUUUUUCCUUUAUCAAAACCAGUUUUUGCUAAUACCUUUUGCAGUCUGAUCCUAACAUCAAACAGGCCUGUAUCACAUCCCGUUUACCAUCCCAAGCCCUACAAAUGUAGUUAACACACUUGUUUAAGAGCAAUUCAGCUCUUAAUUGCUUUCACCCUACCUAUGUAACGAGUUGGUUGUCCAGUGUUGAAAUGGUCGAUGUCUGUGUUUGGCGACUUCUGUUCAUUCUUCUCACUGUGGAAGUGGUCAGCUCUAGAGUAAUUUGCUGUAUGCUUAUUAUUUUCCACCUUUAGCGUUUUGUGUACCAAUGCUAUGUAUUCCUAUAUUUAUAUAUAUACAUAUAUUAUCAGAAUAAUCUUGCUUUGGACUGUUGUUCUCAAACUAUGACUAUGAUGUAGAGAUGACUACAGCUGCUGAGAAUGUGGCGGAAUCAACUCCCACGGCGUAGGUUAAUCUUGGGCUGGAAGUCUACAUCUUUCAACCUCCUCUGUUUUAUAUGAUGCUUUUUAUUCUGUAGGCACUGCCAUCCUGAAUAUUCCUUGUAAAGAUGCAGUCAAUUUCAAAGGAAGACAAAGCCACUGCUGUCUGUACACUGUAAAUAUGUACUUUGGCACUUGUACUCCAGUAUUCUGAAAGCCGAGCUAUGAUGGAAAUGCUGACAGAUCUUUGAUGGUGGCCGAUGCUACCCUGCAGUGCAAAAAUAAAUUAAGUAAAAGUGUAUUCUGAGAUUAGCAGUGCAAGGCCAACAUGUUUUACAAAUCUGUCAGUAUCUUUCUAAUGGAGUGUGUAUGUGUAGUUGUGUUGAAAGAUACACUGUGUAUGUGUGUACAUGCUUUUAUGUGAACUACAAGACACACAGAAGAUGUAUUUCCCAUCUCUAAAUCCCAUGUUGAAAUGUUAAGUGCAGAUGGACAGAAUUAGGUGUUUUACUUAAAUUCAUACCCAAUCUAUUGUGACUCCUUUUUUUUUUAUCUUUACAAAAUAUAAUCUUACAGAUUUGUUUGCUCUGUCUAGCAUCGCAUAAAGGACAGUAAGCCUUUCCUUGUAAAAAGUUGCUGUUUCUAAAGAAGAAUGGAGAGAUUGGAGGCUCCCAGAGAAUGGACCAUGUUCCCCAAACAGCCACAAUGCAGGUGCCUUUGGAUACCCAGUUCCUAAGCCUAUUUCCUGUGUCUGGAAGCCAGAACAUAGUUUAAGUUCUAUAAUGACUAAUCAAGAAAUAGCAGACACGGUCUUAGAAUAAAUUGAAUUAUUAAUGCAUAGUUUUUUUUUUUUUUUACCAUUUUCACUAUUCUGUUAGAAGCUACUUUUUAUAAACCAAACUAUACUAAAGGUAGACAAAGUCAGUUCACAAAUUCUAGCAUUUAUUUAGCAUGAAGAAUCUACUCUUGUUAGACCAGAGGGACACAACUCCAAGACAGAAUAUAAUGCAGUGUUUGACAAAUAACCAAGGAACUGCAUGUGAUAGUCUCCUUAGAAGCAAAAAAAAAAAAAAA
rnacentral:lncRNA from 1 species